GAUGAAGAACGUAGCGAAAUGCGAUAAGUAGUGUGAAUUGCAGAAUUCAGUGAAUCAUCGAAUCUUUGAACGCAUAUUGCGCCCCUUGGUAUCCCGAGGGGCAUGCCUGUUCGAGCGUCAUUUCACCACUCAAGCCUGGCUUGGUGUUGGGCGACGUCCUCUUUGGGGACGCGCCUCGAAACGCUCGGCGGCGUGGCACCGGCUUUAAGCGUAGCAGAAUCUUUCGCUUUGGAAGUCGGGGCCCCGUCUGCCGGAAGACCUGCUCGCAAGGUUGACCUCGGAUCAGGCAGGGAUACCCGCUGAACUUAAGCAUAUCAAUAAGCGGAGGA
rnacentral:misc_RNA from 1 species